rnacentral:lncRNA from 1 species
GGCCCGCGGAGGCUUUGGUCGGCGGCAGCGACAUUACCAUGCUCGCUGGAGCUUUAUGGUAUUUUUAGCCCUCCUGACAUUAGCAAGGUGCAAAAAAAAAGACAGCGCUGAUUUGGCACGUGUAUAAAAGGGGUCUGCGAACCGCUGGGAUUCGCCUGCCCUUUGCAAACGGUGGGGAGCCGCGGCGGCAUGGUGAGCAGGACUGCCAUGGUUUCUUUGCCCCCUUACCAACUGCAUGGAUGAAGACCAGCCAUGACGGAGGCAAGUCAUCCAAACCUCAGACUAUCAAGCAAAUGAACCAGUUUUCCCCCGUUACUUCAGGAAUGCCAACCACUAUGGAAAAACAACCCACCCAAAGCACAUGGAGACGGGUCCAUCGCAAGGACCACAGAGAAAACGUGAUGCCAACCCAUGCAGAUAGCAUCUUGCCUGGCCGGAGGGGAGCUCAGCCGUCAGACGUCUGUAACGGCAGCUUUCCCCUGGAACGCGCUUCUGAACAGAUCGGCCGCAAGACCCCAGAGGAACUCCUCCACCGAGUCACCRACGCAAAUGGGAAACACAAGGAAAGCGCGCUGAAAAAAGUCUCAACAAUGCAAAGAGUAAGAGAUGAGCCCAAGGAUUCACCCUCCAAGGAUGUUUUCCUGUUUUGGGCAAACAAAAUUAACAACAGCAGCAAAAAGGCUACUUUCCAAAAGCUACUGCAGAACUCAUCCGUGACUGUGGAAAGCCGUUCUCCAGUCCUUUUUUCCAAGGAAGGGCUUAGCAGCUUGAAAGAAAGGAAGCAGGCCAAAAAUGCUCAGAGAAAAACCAGAAGAGAUCUCUUUCCUGACUCAGAGGUUUUCAGUCACAUAGACACCCAUGUCCUACAUGUGAGCCAGCAGAUGAAAUCUGGGCAGGACAGGCUGUCCAUCCCGGCCAUCGUACGCCUGAUCACUGCCAAAUCCCAGAGCAAGCUGGAGACGACRCGGGCGAUAUGGUUCUGGCUCUGCCACAACAUCGAAUAUGACGUGGACGGCUUCCUAGGGCUGUCUCAGAAGAUSCACACGCCAGAGCAGGUCCUGCAAACUGGACGAGCCGUGUGYUCUGGUUAUGCCCA